AGGGUAUGCUGUGACAUCUUUUUUCACAUUGAGUUAUUAAUAUGAGUAUGUAUUUUUUUUAGGUCUUCUUUGUACAUUAUGACAGACCAGACCAAAACUACUCUAGAUUGGCUCCCAGCUUGUUUUAAAGUCCUGAAAAUUUCAAGAACCCAUGUAUCUGGCUUCAUCACCAACAAAGCUGACCUCAGCACUGUACUAGAAUGCCACAAGAGAGAAACACUGACAUCAUUUGUUGCUUGGUCUGAUGAUAAAAGAAAGAAAGAACAGGGGCCACAUCGUCUGGUUUGGCAGGUGGAAGAUUUGUCUGAGAAUGUUCCUCUUGCUGUUACGAACAGAGUAAUUCAUUGUUGUCAGCAUGGCAAUCCACGAAAUAAUUGCAAAAAUCUGGAGGUAGGAUUCAGGAUAUGUUUUUGUUGUUGUUGUUUUUUUUAAAUGGAUUAACUAAUGCAAAUUUUACAAAGGCAUACUUUUCUCUGAACUUUUUUUUUCUCCAUAUAUUUCAGCUCUCUACAGAACAUGAGCAUGUAUACUCUGGCAAAAGGAAAAGAAUGUACAUACAA
ensembl:lncRNA